rnacentral:tRNA from 1 species
GCCUUCGUGGUGUAGUGGUCAGCACACUCGGUGGUAUUCGAGAGGUCCAUGGUUCGAGUCCCGGUGAGGGCA